CAGUAGCCACGGUAAUACGAAGGGUGCAAGCGUUAAUCGGAAUUACUGGGCGUAAAGCGUGCGUAGGCGGUUUGUUAAGUCUGUUGUGAAAUCCCCGGGCUCAACCUGGGAAUGGCAAUGGAUACUGGCAAGCUAGAGUGUGUCAGAGGAUGGUGGAAUUCCCGGUGUAGCGGUGAAAUGCGUAGAGAUCGGGAGGAACAUCAGUGGCGAAGGCGGCCGUCUGGGACAACACUGACGCUGAGGCACGAAAGCGUGGGGAGCAAACAGGAUUAGAUACCCCGGUAGUCCCUGUCUCUUAUAC
rnacentral:rRNA from 1 species